GAAAGACCGAAACCCACCCCUGCCACCGCUAGAGUCGCGGCUCUGUUGAUGACUUCUGGGAAGUGUUGGAAACAGGGCCUUAAAAAAAGAAUGGCGUCCAUUUACAUAAUGCUUUGUUUGCAUUUUGCAAGUUUCUUUCGGUUGAACCUACAGAAAUCCCACAGUGUCGUUUUAGUCGUGGCAGUCUCGACAGGCAUUUAGGACAAUGGUGUGCUCCUUUUGGGAACGCAUUUAGUCAGGGUUGCUGAGUUAGUGCUUGAAUUCUUGCGAUUUCCCCCCACACUCUUCACUUUCCCGCUUCUGCGUUUCGGCCUUUCCCCUGUUUCCCCUUUUGGUGCGAUCGCCUCGCCCCGCUCCCCUUGGGGGCGGCCCCUGUCGGGCCCCGCCAUCUUGGAAGGCCUUUCUUGCCGGUUCGCCACCGCACGUCCCUCUCGCCAAAGAAAGGUCGCUUGGGAGGCUCGUAUGAAUUCACUUAGGCCCAGAGAGAUGAAGUGACUAAUUCAAGGUCACACAGUGGAGGAUGGAUUCCAGACCUUCUGAUUUCCUUAUUGGUGAUCUUAACUUCUCUGACAGCUCCACUUAACCAUCUACACUUGGAUGAUGCCCAGAUCUUUCUAUGGACCACAGUAUCCAACUGCUCAUGUAGACAACAUCAAAAGGAUGUUUUGCAUACUCGGCAAAAUGCAGCCUCCUGCUCUUCCCCACUUGCUCGUCAUCCAUUGUCCUCAUCACAUGUGAAAAGUGGUCUUGUCACUGUAAAUAUGGUGGUUGAGAAUGUGACUCUGAUAUGAUGUGAUGUGAUAUGGUAUAUGAUUCUGGAGCGAGCCUGCUGGGGCCUGAAUUCGGACAUAACCACUUACUGUGUGUGACCUUGGUUCUCUAAGCACAUGCUAUUGGAUAAUCCUGCCUGGAUCAGUCCUUUCCUCACCUUGGACUUCACCUUCUUUUCCUCUUUAUUCUAUCUGCUAAAGUUGCCAGCCAGCCUCUUUCACCCCAGAGGGGGAUCCGGCUCCUGAAAUCCCAGCCUAUGCUAGUGCCUCAUGCUUCCUGGGGGCUUGCCAAGAAAGUCAAAGGGCCUGUUGUUAUAUAUUUACCAGCACACCACUGGGCAAAUUGCCUUAGGCUGAGGAGAGACCAGAGACCAGAUUGGACUCUUUGGAAAGAUUCCCAGAAGAGGGAGGGACUCAUCGAUGGAAAGACGCUUCCAUCAAUGGAGAGAGGAGGGAUGGCUUGAAGACCUGAUGCCAUGCCCCACUGAAGCAGAAUGCCAGCAGCAGCUGUGGCCCCUGCUCCUAGGAGCUGUGCCACCCACCCUACACAUGCACACACCCACACCAACCCCAGGGCCCAGGCCUCAGCCUAGGCUGGGGGGGGUUGUGCAGGAGUGGGGCAGGCAGUCGGGGCCCAGCUCAUGGUGCAGAGCGUGGGCUGGAGAGACCGGGUGCCAUCUUGGUCGCCCACAUCAGCAGAGGUGACUGCGUGGUAACCAGUGACCCAAGGGCGAGUGUGGAACAGGAAACAGGAUGGGGCAGAGGCAAGAAGAAAAAAAGUCCAUAAUACCCCUAGUGAGCCCCAAGACUCCACUUGACCAUUACUUGAGCAUCACCAUCCUAGGUUGACUUUUUUUCCCCCUGCACCCCAGCAUUUGCUCUUGGCCACUUAAGGGACAGAUCAGAGAGGCCCAUAGGAAACCCAGGUAAGGACUCUGUUUCUUUUUUUCUUUUAGAGGCGAAAAGAAAAUGCUUCCUUUAAAAACUAAAACCACUCAAGUGGCCAACUGCAGGGUCAGGGGCCUAUUGCAGUGCUCAAUUUUGAAUCGUCCUGGGCAUUAUUGGAGUCUUGGGUUUAUUGGGAGGAGAAUUUAGGUCCUGCUCAAAAAAGUGAUUCAAAGAGCAUCACAAACUAACAUUAGGUCUGUGACUAGAGAAAGGAGUCAGCAGUCACUAUCAGCACCUUGGAGAAUUCAAGAUCUUUGCUUAGCAGAAGAAACCCAAACAAAAUACCCUGGGUGCUUCACCUGCCAUUCUAAGCCAACAGGCAUGGAAAGCUGUGUUCUGGGAUGUUAACAGCACGCACCGGUAUUUUCUCACUGCAUGAAAUUGGACUACAUACUCUUACCUUCCCAUCUGCAUUGCGAUGGUAUCAGUAAGAGUAUAGAUUUCUUUUCAGUUUUUAAAAAUCAAUUUUACAUAAAAAUAUGCAUGUGCCUAUAUUUACACACAUCUAUAUUUACGUACAAUUGUCAAAGUUUUAAAGGCUGGGGUUUAUAUCUUUGCCCAUUCCCCUCCCCCCCACAACCCUAAUAGAAAGGUUUUUCAUUUUGCUUAAAAAAACCAAAACAACCAAAAAGACUUUAUAGCUCUUAACAGUCACGCUGGUGGAUCAGUGAAUGAGAGGGUAGGUUGGCAAAUGAGGGCUGCCGAUCACCCGCGUAGGGAAGAGGAUUAGCUGCCUUGGGCUGAGUUUGCUGGUCCUGAAUUUACAGUUUUGGUUAGAGGCCUAUCUGGCACGCCGAUUCGGUCUACCUUGAGCUUUGAAAAGUAAUGUCUAACCCUGGUGUCAGUUUAUCACAAGUGCAUUAAAAAUAGAUCAAAUUCCACAUUUCUAUAUGCAAUCAAAUUGAAAAGGACCAGACAAACAGUGCAAAGGUCAAAUAAUUACUGUUUUAUAUUGGGACAGUACAUUUCAACCAAAAGACAAAAAUGCAGUUUAACUUAAACACAGAAAAUAAUGGCAUCUCUCAGAUGCCUUAUUUUGAAAUCAAACAAAUACACAAAUUCUGUUCCCCUCCCUCCCCCGAUGCAAGCCCACAAGCUUUGCCCAAAGUCUUGAGUUUUCGAUGCCUUAAGGCAUCUGGCAUCUUGGACUUGUGAGGCGCUUGAAUGUAGCAAUUAAAAUGCUUGAGAGGUCUCGUGAAUGGCAUUCGAAAGGGACCUCAAAGUGCAGAUACAUCUUUUCAAACAUGUUACAGGCUGAGCUGGCUCUUUCAACACUAUCACUCUGCUUAAAUUCAGGAAGCAGGCUUUAAAAAUGCAAAAGGCAUACAAGUUGUAUUUCAGUGCAAAUCUUCAGCUGGUCAUUGGAAAAGAUUCCAAUUAAAAAAAAAUCCUUUGUGUCACCUGCCCCUCCCCCCACCCAAAGCUGAAAUGAAGGAAAAA